UACAGAGGUGGCAAGCGUUGUUCGGAAUUACUGGACGUAAAGGGCGCGUAGGCGGUUCGUUAAGUCCUGUGUGAAAUCCCCCGGCUCAACUGGGGAACUGCACAGGAAACUAGCGGGCUUGAGUUCGGGAGAGGGAAGCGGAAUUCCGGGUGUAGCGGUGAAAUGCGUAGAUAUCCGGAGGAACACCGGUGGCGAAGGCGGCAUCCUGG
rnacentral:rRNA from 1 species